GACGAACGCUGGCGGCGUGCCUAAUACAUGCAAGUAGAACGCUGAAGGAGGAGCUUGCUCUUCUGGAUGAGUUGCGAACGGGUGAGUAACGCGUAGGUAACCUGCCUGGUAGCGGGGGAUAACUAUUGGAAACGAUAGCUAAUACCGCAUAAGAGUAGAUGUUGCAUGACAUUUGCUUAAAAGGUGCAAUUGCAUCACUACCAGAUGGACCUGCGUUGUAUUAGCUAGUUGGUGAGGUAACGGCUCACCAAGGCGACGAUACAUAGCCGACCUGAGAGGGUGAUCGGCCACACUGGGACUGAGACACGGCCCAGACUCCUACGGGAGGCAGCAGUAGGGAAUCUUCGGCAAUGGACGGAAGUCUGACCGAGCAACGCCGCGUGAGUGAGGAAGGUUUUCGGAUCGUAAAGCUCUGUUGUAAGAGAAGAACGAGUGUGAGAGUGGAAAGUUCACACUGUGACGGUAUCUUACCAGAAAGGGACGGCUAACUACGUGCCAGCAGCCGCGGUAAUACGUAGGUCCCGAGCGUUGUCCGGAUUUAUUGGGCGUAAAGCGAGCGCAGGCGGUUAGAUAAGUCUGAAGUUAAAGGCUGUGGCUUAACCAUAGUACGCUUUGGAAACUGUUUAACUUGAGUGCAAGAGGGGAGAGUGGAAUUCCAUGUGUAGCGGUGAAAUGCGUAGAUAUAUGGAGGAACACCGGUGGCGAAAGCGGCUCUCUGGCUUGUAACUGACGCUGAGGCUCGAAAGCGUGGGGAGCAAACAGG
rnacentral:rRNA from 1 species